rnacentral:ncRNA from 1 species
CCCGCCGCCCGCCCCGACCCACGUUAGGGGCGCUUGCGCCCCCAAGGGCCCGUGCCAUUGGCUAAGCCGGUCCGGCCGAAGUGCCGCGGUCGGCCGCCUCGAAGCUCCCUUCCCAACGGGCGGUGGGCUGAAUCCUUUGCAGACGACUUAAAUACGCGACGGGGCAUUGUAAGUGGCAGAGUGGCCUUGCUGCCACGAUUCACUGAGAUCCAGCCCCAUGUCGCACGGAUUCGU